rnacentral:lncRNA from 1 species
CUACCCCCGGAAGAGGGUACAAGGGAGUUUAUUUCAAUUUAAGUGACAAUCGAAACAAGAUUAAUUCUUAGAUUCAAAGUCGCCACUUGGGAUAAUUUGUGGUGUCCCAAGUCACCGGUUUAAAAUUCUGAAUCGAGAAAAGAUUGACUUUGUUUUACAGUCUGCGAACACAAAAAUCCAGGUAAAAAAUUUGUUAAUUCGAGAGAGUGUAUUAGGCAGUCCCGAGUUCCGAGGUUCUAGCACUAUCGCUUUGAUCAUACUUGGCGUAAUAAAUUAUUUAGUUACUCAUUUUAGAACUUAUGUGCAUUUGCCUCUUUUAAUUAAGAAAUUAUCUUAAAACAAGUCAGGUCACGACCAUGUGUACCCAUUUAUUUGGUGCGUCAAAAUUAUGUCACGCGAACGUGUCCACAAUUAAUAACGCUUUAUUAUUAAUAAUAAGCUCGGCCAAAGUUGAGAGAAUGCAUACUCCGAUUUUAUUUUUAAAAUCGUAAUUAUGUCACGCAAAUGUGUCCACAAUCACAAUGAUAUAUUAAACGAGCCUAAAGUAACUACGAGCAUUUUUCAUUUUUAUAUCUAG